ensembl:lncRNA
UUUAAGCACAGUGCCUGGUCCAUAGCAGGCUCUCAAAAAAUAUUUGUUCCUAAACUAACUAAAUAUAUCUUUAAUCCCCACACCAACCAGAAGUGUUUUAUUUAAAAUAAUACUUACUUUAAAGUGAGUAGCUUUAAAAUAACAACUGUGAAGCAAAUACCAAAAAAAAAAAAAAAAAAAAAAAAAAAAAAACAAAAAAACNAAAAACCCCUCUUUUAAUGAGAAAGUCUGAUUAACUUCAGUAUUAACUCAAGUUCUCAAAAACCCAUUGGGGAAAGCCAACAGGUACAUCAGAGAAAAGCAGGCAGCUACUGACAAGUCUCUGGUGGAAAAGUAAGUUGCAUACUUAAACAAGAUGCUCUAAUGAUUAUCAAGGCCAAGUUUUGUUUAUCAAAUAUAGGUUUCAGGAUAUGCCAAGGCAAUCAUACAGACACCUCCAUCAGUACAAAGAUAUAACAAUGAGGUUAAGGGUAUAGAAAAAGCCAAAAAUGAUAAUAUACACAAUCUAUAACAAAAGCCUUUAAAUCCUAGAAGAAAAUGGGAAAACCUCAUGAAUGUAACACACACAAAAUUAGGCUAACACUAUGUGGAACAACCCUGAACAUUUUUCCAGUGAUUAAGCCAUGAAGUAACAGCUCAGGAUAUCAUUAACAGGUAGUCUUUACAUACAAUAUAUAAAAAUUAGAGUAAUUUUUUUUCUACUCAAUUUUCAUUUCUUCCUUUUUUACCUUUUCCCUAAUUUUUUCUAGCAGCUUUUUCCUUUGGGUAGACCAGUUGAACAUGAAAUGUUUGGAACCUAAAGUGAGUAUCAAUGUCUUAUUGGAAUAGCAUUUGGGAACUACAAUCCAAGAAAAGGCGGAUUUUAACUGAAGUGACUUGACGAAGGUCGGCAUCCAUUUUCAAUGUGACAAUGUCCUCCAUGUUUAUCAGUAGGGUAGUAGCUUCUCUUGACUGGGUUACAUCACCCAUCAUGAUACCAGUGUGCUCCAUGGUGAAGUACUGCAGAGCUAUGUGCACAAACACCCACCUGCUUAAGCUUCUGGUACCUUGGUUUUGUUGAGGUCCUAGGAGUGACUUGCAGGACUCACCAACCAGAACCAUGCUCAGGUGUGGCCACUUUGUUGCCCAAUGUCACCCAUUCUUCCACCUCCUACUGCACUUCCUGCUUGAUCUGCUGGCAAAUUUCCUUCCAGAAAUGACAACAGCUUAAUUUCCAACUACCAAGAGGUGACAGGGGUGGUGCAGAGGUGCCAGCUCUGCAUGAGCCAGAGCAGCCAAGUAGCCAAUGUGGACUUGAGGAAAGAAGCAGUCCUCAUCCAUGCUGAGUAAAUAUAUCAUUUUACUCGUGUUGUUAAUCUGUGUUAACUACCCAAAGCAUGCUGAACAUUUUCCUGGUAUCUAUGCCUGUAGUUUACUUUAAUUUUCCAUGUUGAGAUACUUCAUGUAAACAUUAUAAAUUUAAAAUAGUUUUGACGUCAGCACUCUUUUUAUACUCUCAACCUUACAUUUAUAGCAUGCGUGAGUUUAUAUGCCGAGACUAAUGGGUCCUAUUUGGAACAUUAAAAAAUUUUACUUUAGCUUUAUCAAGAGGGCAUUGCCCAGUAGAUUCUUAAAUGUUGACUAAUGGCUUGGUGAGAGUAGCUUCUGAUGUGCGAGGUACAUAGCAUCGUGUUAAAAGGACAGUUGCUGAGAUCAAAGCUAAACAGUGUAGCUUCUGAAGUGUUUAUAUCAUCCAUAUCCUAUAAAGCUAGUUUUGGAGAAGUAAAACAUUAGACAUUUUAAUCAAUAUUUCUUAGAGUAAAUCUCUGAAGAGAUGACAGCAAAUGAGAACCCAUCUCUGACAAAAGUGAAAGGAAAGUGGAUCAUUUUUUUCAAAGGAAGUAAUGUGUGGAAAAUGCUUUUCAACGGUAAAGUGGUAUACAAUUGCUUACUCUUGAAAUCACUAUGAUUGUUAUUUGGGCUAGUUUGAAAGUCAAUUGCCUGUCUCAGCCCAGCCAAACUACUAGGUCUGCCAUUUUGUCCCAUGACUCAAGACAAGCAAAUUCUAUAUGCCAUUUGUA